AUUCCUUAAUAAUUUCAUCACCUUUUGCGUUCCUUUCCGUUUAAUGACAUCAAUUAUCAUGGGGUUUUUGUAAAUCGGAAGGAUAAUGGUUAGCUUUAUUCAAAUAUAAAUUAAAUGACGAUUUAAAUAACAAACGUCAAAUAAUAAAGCUAGGUAAUUAAAAUAAAACUUUAACUGGUGAAAAAUGUGACUAUGUAUUUAUGAAGAACUUUGUAACUAAAGAGAAUAUCGACAUAUCGCUUACAGCAUUAUUUAUGUAUUUAGACAGUAUAAAAUAUUACAAUCAAUAAAUUAUAUUAAAGAUUAUUAUUGGUAUUAUUCUUAUAUUGGUAUUAUUAUUAUUGGUAUUAUUAUUAUUGGUAUUAUUCUAAAUUGCAGUUCAGUUUUGAAAUAUCAUUGUUGCUUAUUAAAUUGAUAUAAGUAUUUUAAUAAUAAUAAUGAACGUCGUACUAUUCAAGUCAUCGCAAUUACGUUAAACAUAACAAGUAAGAUACAUCCGUUUUACAAAUAAUGACGUAGCAGCUUACUAAAAUACAAGUUAAUUCAUUUGAAGAUAAUCUGUAGCGGUUUAUGAAGAUUAUACUUGCUAAAGUUAUUAGAUUUUGAGCCUUAAAGGUAUUAUGUUAAUAUCACGAAAAUAUCAUAUCGUAUUUUCAUAAUAACGUUUAUUAAGCGCUUACUCGUUUAGGAAUGUUCAAUGUAUUUUGUGAACAAAUUUGUUUAUAAAUAGCAGACAUUGUAACUAAGGGACCUUAAAUUUUUAUUAGUAUGCAAAUUUGCUCUUUCAGCAUUGAAACUAAUAUUUCCCGUUUUGCACAGUCUUGACCAAAAAAUUCAAUGGAAGUUAAUUUUCUCUGCUUGUACUCUUCGUGUCGGUUUUUUUAUAGUCGUAACGUAAUUCGUCAAAAAAGGAAUAUUGUCAACCAAUGUUUAGUAAUAGCUCCUCAAAAUUAUUUUAGAAUAAAUAAGAAUGCAUUUACAACUUUAAAAGCAAGGAAUAGGGUGUAAACAGGUUUGUUUGGUCUUCGUACAUACCACGGGGGCCUAAUAUUUUAAUAAAACAAAAGCAGCCGUCAUACUUAUUGUUCAUUGAUUCAAUUUCAUAAUUAGGUUUCCAUUACGUUUCUUAUUGUAAUUUCUCCAAUAUUUUAUUCAGUUGUCUACAUGAUUAACAUGCUGUCCCAAACAUACCACACAAUAAUCUUUUAGAACUAAUUUAAAAGUGUUAUUCAAGCUAUUCAUUUACUCACUAUGCCAAAAGCGAAGAGUAUUAACAAAACUAACAAGUCGUCCGCUGCUUCUAACGAAGCGCACGGCAACAUAGUUAGAAGGGUCGCUGCUUCCGUGGAAGCGCCCCACAACACACAGGGGCCGGUCGCUGCUUCCUCCGUGGAAGCGCCUAGCCCUAGCACAUCGACCGCCACCGCCCCUAAUUCAUGGUUGGCUGGUGAGCAGGUCUGGCAGGUGGUCCAGCGGAAAGAAACACCCUCCGACAUGCGGAAAAAAAAUAAACGCACAGAGGAGAGGAAGAAACGCUGGGACCAACAAAACGCCGGCAGAAAGCAACCCCCCGCCGCAAGGCAGGGUGACGCCAAAAAGCCGCUAUCGACACCUAUUGCUGCAGUAGGUGCAAGGCAACCGAAUCGUCAGGGUGACAACCAGGGCGAGAGGGGGCCAAACACCGAACAAGCAGCACUAACUAGCGGACCCGCGGAGGUGAAAACCAAUGCGCACCGCAAACCCAGACGGAGACGAGGUGGCAGGGGCCAGGGAAAUGCGUUGCCCGCAACUCAGCAGGGCGACGUUAAAGUACCUAAACGCCCCCGCCCCAAUGAGACACAAUCACCUCAAGUACAGGUGAAGAAGCAAAAAGCGUCCACCAGCGUCGUUUCGGCGAGGGGGGCCGCCACCUACGCCGACAAGGUGGUCCUGAACGACCUCUUUGUGGCGGUGAUGGCGGAACCCUUCACCGACCUAUCACCAACGCAUGUGGAGGCUAUUACGAGCACUCUGGAGUCCUGCAUCAUAGGUUUAGCGGAUGCUCCGAGUGGAUCUAACAACAUCCCGUAUGUGCCCGCCUUCCAUGGAAAACCUUUCCACAGUGAGGGCGUGCUUAAAAUGCACUGCGAGGACUCCAAGGCUGUGGAGUGGCUAAAAGAAACUGUGGCCACUCUAGAGUCACCAAUCCCGGGGACAAUCCUGGUUGUCAGGCGCCAGAAGCGCCAGGAGGGGAACACACCUGGCACUUUUCUGGUGCUUGGCAUACCAGCGGACGAGAUCCCCAACAUAAUGGCGAGAGGGCGAAGGCUCUGCUACAAGCUGGGCAACGCCUACAUCCGCUUCUUCGGCAACAAGGGAAGGUUGCAGGAAAUGCCACCCGACCAAGUUGAGACGGCGCCUACAUCCGGGACCUCCAGCGACCCCUCCGCUGCAAAGCAGAAGGUGCGCGCUGGGAAGGACCUGGUGAUGGCAGCGUCUGUGUCCACGGCUAACCAGCCAAUCUUCGCCGAAAGGCAAAGUGCGGUUGGAGAACCAAUGGUCACCCAACACUCCUCCGCCGAAAGGCAGAGGCAGGAUGGGAUGUCAGUUUGCUCGCUGACUACCACCGACGGAGACGCCAGUUAUGGCGAUCUGGAGGAGGCUGUCGCGCAUCUGGCUGACCAGGACAUUCCGUUGGGGACGGAUGAGGAAGUGAGCAGCCCCCUUCGCUCCUCCUCGCCUCACUAACUUAAUACAAGCCAACCUCCAGCAUAAACAAGCUGCAGCGGCCACCCUGCGUAGAGCACUGGAGGUAAACAACAGGACCAUCGCCCUUAUCCAGGAGCCGUGGAUAAGGAAGGACAGAAUCUGCGGUCUGAGCAACAUCGGAGGUAAGAUCCUACUUGAUACCACCGUCAAUAACCCACGCACCUGCAUCUACGUACCCAAAUCAAUUGACGCAGUUAUAAUUAAUGAGUUCUGUUCCAGAGACCUGACCACAGUCAGGCUCCGGAGCAGCUGUCCUAGCAUCCCGGAAGUAAUACUAGCGUCCGCCUACCUACCGGGCGACGCGGACGUACCGACGGUCGAGCUAGUGAACCUAAUCAGACACUGCGAAGACAAGAAGCUUGAGCUGAUCAUCUCGGCGGACGCGAACGCUCAUCAUACUAUCUGGGGUGGCGGCGCUUCCAAUAAAAGAGGUAUGACCGACAGCCCCCUAUGUAGGGGAUGUCUGUUGGCCAACGAAACAGCUUACCAUGUCAUCCUGGAAUGUGAAGGAGUAGCUGCGCAACGGGCAAAAAUCCUCGAUUCGCCGGGGUCACUCCGAGAAGCCUGUGGAGACACCAGGAGGAUCCUGCGCUUCUGGAAGGAGUUAGGCUGGCUUGCUCUGUAGCCGGCAUGCACGUCACGCACAAUGGCCCGACUUUUUUACGGGCUAAGUGCGGAAAAAGGAGCCCAUAACCAUAACCAUCAAGCUAUUCAUUCGUUCAUAGACAAUAUUUUCGAAGCGAAAAGCGGGCAUUUAGUUCGCGAUAUCGAGUUAUCAAAGUUGUUACCCCUAGCCCAGGAGUGCUCGUACCUCUAGCGUACCAAUUUAUAUUAUGUAUGUUUACUAGAAUUCAUUUACCUCAUAACUCGUUUACUCUAUCAGUUAUCGAUUGCCUCGUAAAUAAACCCAGCCCUAGAAUUGUGUUUACAUUGAUUGUAUUACGAUCAACUUUGGUUUCAUUUCAAAUACACCUCAAUACUCAAAUUGUAAUGGAUUGUCUAACAUUGAUAUUGUCGAUAGAUGUUUAAGACAAGUUAUGAGGUUUCUUAAUGUUUAACUUCAAUUAUCUGUCGUUAAUUGCUAAUUUAAAAAGGUCGGCCAGGUCACUGAUAACUAGGUUUAAUUUUAAAGAAUUAGAAUUCAAAUUGUAAAGAUGCUUAUGAAAAUAAAUUUCUACCUAAUUUUAAUCGUUUGGGAAUGAAAAAGCAUUUAAUGUUACUAAUAAUGGUUUUCUAUUUUCUAGUUUGACAAUAAAAUUAUAUUCAUUUGAAUCAGCCUAAAUAUAUAUUUGUACAAAGCAAUAUUACAGUUGUCUUGCUUAUUAGGAAUUGGAUGAAGAUAUAUUAAUUUUGAUGACAACAUAUAAAUGUAUAACGGUUAUUAAUAUUGGCAGAGUAUGAUUUGAAAUAAUAUUCCAAAUUCAAAUUCUCUAACUCACGUCUGCCUACCUACUACGCAAUUGACCUAGAUAUUCGUAGCGCGGUUACAGCCAUUAUUUGGUGCGCUACUCCGAAAAACGAAAA